GUCUGAUUCCACAGACUGCAAAGAUAGAACCUGCCUUAAUCCUCUAACAGGAUGUAGUGUUAAAGGGUCUGCUUCCUCAAUGGAGGAAAAGAGUAACAGAGAUCCACAUAUGAAUCUUCUAUGUGAAGAAAGAAGAGACCCUGCAACCACAACAUGUUCUGAUUCUGGGGCUGACCAGUGCAAAGCUGGAACAGAUGCUCCUGGUCGCGUAAAGACAACAGUGGACAUCAGAUAUGAGCCAGUGCCUUGUCCUGAG